GCUGCAUCAAGAGGAAGAAGAGGAGUGCGGAGGAGGGUACGGAGGGACACGCAGACUGGGAAUACUCUAGCGGAGAGAGCCAAUCCGGAGAGGGAGAAGACUGCGAGGAGACCCGUGCUAAUAUGCUGCCGUGCUCCGCAGGGACGGCUGAGCACCAGGGAGUUUGACAGGAUCUCAGUGCACCUGCUCCAUGCACGCGGAUUAUGUGGAGGAGCUGACGUGUGCGAUGGCCAGCUUGGACCUGCAGGUUCUCAGACCUCCAGCUCUGCAUUACUGUUACCUCCAAAACAAGCAGCCCAGCUCCACGAUCUGACUGUACCUCCCCUCCUCUCCUCUCCCCCUCUCCCUCUCUCUCCCUGGGUGUCCCUCAAUCCUGGGCCCACCAUGGGAGGAUGCUUCUCCAAACCCAAACCAGUUGAAGUAAAAGUGGAACUCUCUCUCCUGGAUAAAGAAAAAGAGGUGGACGGGUUGUCGCCUAAUGGCAAAGCGAGUCCCUUUGCUGAAUGCAGACCUAAC
rnacentral:lncRNA from 1 species